rnacentral:rRNA from 1 species
GACGAACGCUGGCGGCGUGCUUAAUACAUGCAAGUCGAGCGAGGAUUGCAGCAAUGUAAUCUUAGCGGCGGACGGGUGAGUAACGCGUGGGCAACCUGCCCUCUAGCCUGGGAUAACAGUUCGAAAGGACUGCUAACACCGGAUAUGCUCACGACUCGGCAUCGAAACGUGAGAAAAGUUUACACUAGAGGAUGGGCCCGCGUCCCAUUAGCUUGUUGGUGAGGUAACGGCCCACCAAGGCGACGAUGGGUAGCCGACCCGAGAGGGUGAUCGGCCACACUGGGACUGAGACACGGCCCAGACUCCUACGGGAGGCAGCAGUAGGGAAUUUUCCGCAAUGGGCGAAAGCCUGACGGAGCAACGCCGCGUGAGGGAUGAAGGUUUUCGGAUCGUAAACCUCUGUCGUCAGGGACGAUAAUGACGGUACCUGAGGAGGAAGCCACGGCUAACUACGUGCCAGCCGCCGCGGUAAAAC